UUACCCAGAGGAUGUGAAGUGAAAGUUUUGUUACACCAUUCUUCAGAGUGAAGGCAGUUUUCCUACAGAAACCUUCAAAAAAGGAGAUGCAUCCUUCCUUGUUCCUGGCAGUCUUGCAUUUGAGGAAAUCAGUAUGCUCCAACUUAGGAAAUGCAUAAGCAACACUUGUUCAAUUCCACCUGCUGCAGUUAAAGAAAAGCUUAUCUUUUAGUCUCCAGAGGCAGAAAAAAAGCAGAAAAGGUUGUUGAAAUUCUUCACAUUGAUUUCAGGGCAAUGAUCUCAAACGGCGCAGUGGGAACCCGCAAAUUUAAGAGGGCCUGCUGCCAUCCGUGUAAGAUGUGACUUGCUCCUCCUUGUCUUCUACCAUGAUUGUGAGGCCUCCCCAGUUAUGUGGAACUGAAAGCUAGAGGAAACCAAAGUCAUAGAACAUCUGAACUCUGUCCAAACAUCGGUCGUAUUUCAAAAUUUCAGGGCCUCAGACUUCCAUGAUAAUAUCUGCCUAGUCUAGCCACCAUCCCGCAGCCAACGAUAAUAUCUGACACUUCCUGACAUCAUGAAAGCCACCAUCUGUCUAUCACCAAAACCCUGUACUUUUUAAAGACUACUUGGCUUGAUCCUUAAUGAAGCUUCAAGUUGAAUGCACAGAUCGCUUUAGAAGGAAUACAAGGAAUAAUUGACACAAGGGAUCUCCUGGAAAAAGCCUUAUACCUAAUAUUCCCGAGUCUCGUUCUGUAGUCCA
rnacentral:lncRNA from 10 species